rnacentral:lncRNA from 1 species
CAAGGUGCUACCUACCUUCUUGUCUGGCUGUAUUUACUCCAAAGGAAGGCUCUGAUGGAGAGAAAUACCUGAGGCACGCAAGAAUAUACCUAUCCAGGAACAUAAAUAGUCAACUGUAUUUGCUCGCUUUCAAUUUAAAGAGAGAUUGAAGAUGAAGAGUCAUCCUAGUUUGCAAAGGACUUUUCUCCCUGUUCCCUUGACCUAACCAAGUUGCCCAGGCUUAACCACUGAUGAUGACAACUGCAUACUUUCCUUAUAUUGUUAAAUUUCUCUCAUUAGGAAACUCCCUCAGGCAGCUGAGUGAUGGAGAAAUUGGAAGUGUUUUAAUAGGGUGUGUCGCUCUUUGCUUGUUGGCAAGUCAGCCUAGACUUCAUAUCAGAAGGAAGGUGAAAGGUGACGAGCAACAGCUGUGGUCUGGCCAGCCAGGAGCCUGCGGGAUAUCAGCUGAGUCUUGCAGGAUGGAGCAAAUGAGCUGCUGGCCUGGGCUAGGCCCUUUGCCCUCACCUGGGCUUUCAGGAAGGAGCUGAUGUCCUGAAUUAUUGAUGGCUGCCUAAGUAAACAGCUGCAGAAAAUAGGAGGAAUCCCUUCCUCUCCCAUCACCAGGAGGACCAGAGGAGGAGGGAAGCACUUCUUUCAGGAUGGCAGCGAAUUCAGACAGAAUACUCAUGGAAGACCUGGGCCAAGUGCAUUCCACGCAUGCAGCCUCCUCUCCAGCUUCCUUACAUAGAAACCCUCACGAUUUUGCUUCUGAAAUUAAGAAGCAAUGGACUGGAUGAUACCAUUAAUUUAGACAUUGC